rnacentral:snoRNA from 1 species
UUACAAACAAUUCUUUCCACAACCAGCUACUGGUCGAUCUUACAUUUCAUCUGGUGUGCAAUGGCUGCAAACAGCAGCCUCCUUGGUAGUGUUUGCAACCUGUUGCUUGUAUGGGUUACUCUAAUGGAUGCUGGAGACAGCC